GCCUAGAGAGAGAGUGGAUCACAGAGAGCCCAGUGUGGCCCACUAAAGAGUUUGAACUUCAAAGUUUUAAGCAAAGGAUCAGGUGAUCAGAUUGUGGAAGAUAGCCUGGGGGCGGGGUGAGAGAACCACAGGAAGAUCACUUGCAAAAAUUUGCUUAUUCUACAAAAUCCUCAGACUCAUCUCUUUUGCUUGAAAUAACAUUAAAUUGUAUCAUAUUUCCCAUGCUGUUUAGGCAACUUGAGCCUCACUGCCACUUUCUUUUCUCUAACUCAGACCUGUAAUUUUUUUCAAAGUCACAAACCCUUACAUUUAAGAAAAGUCAUGGAAUCCUAAUUUGGUGGUAAGAUUUUAAUAACACAUUUAAAGCAAUAAGUAUAUAAAGCACAAAACCAGUGGGUGGCCAAACAUUUCCUAUUGGAGGGAGCUAAAUCAUAAAAAUAAUGUUAAAAGGAAGGUAUGCUAUAAGGAUUGUAAUAAAAGUUGUCUCUAUUUAACAUGGCUUCUUAUUUGGGUUACUGUUAAACAGACACGAAUCUAUUUUCUGCCUAUAGGUGACCCCACUUCAGCUGUUAACUUUCUGUCUCAGUGCUUAAUUGUGCUUGGUAAUCAAUACUGUCAGAGGAAGACGCCGAAGUUCUCUUUAUUAAAGACCCCAGGAGCUCAUGUUUGUUUCUCAUCUUUACCAAGCUUCCAGGAGCUUUCAUUUUCCUCACUUCCCACAUAGAAGCUCAACAGCUACCCCAUGAGCUGUUUUCCCUGGAGACUCCUGCCCAUCCCCAUGAAUCAAUCUGUGAUCUAAGGCCACGCUUUUGGCGGUGCUUUACGGGCUCUGGAGUACUGGCUUCUGGCUGCUCGGUUCUCAGCGUCAAAUGAAGACAAGGGCUGCGUCUGGCACCUUGCUAGAAACUGAGUCAUUGUUAUUGGGUUCAGUCAAAAUGUAUUUGAUUACAGGGGAUGGUGGAUUACUGUGAUUUAUUUUGUUCUCCAAACUGCAGAAGAUCUCCUGGGCUUUGGUAAAAUUCUCUAGGAUAGCUGUGAGUAGUCGAGCUAUUGAAAACUUUUAUACACACAUAUACACAUACAGAUUUACUUAUACACAUGUAUAUGUACCUUAAUAUAUGAAAGUAUGUAAAUAAUUAAAUGCCAGUUUUGAAAUGUCAACACUGCAAUGAAGAGUAGUUUGCUUUUUCCUUGUCAAUGAGGCUGGAAAAGCCCUAGAAUUUUCUUCAUUCCUGUUAUGCUUGCUACCUGCAAGUCCUUUAAAAUAAAAUCAUCAUUAUUUAAAAGUGUGAUAAUACCAAUGAGGAAAUACAAGGAUCACUUCCAUACAAAGGAAGAACCAGGCCCAGGAGAGAAAUUAUCUGACAGGCACCUCAAACUUAACAUGUCUUAAACUUAACCUCUGAAUUUCUCUCACAUCUUAUCUCCACACCCCACUUCCCCAUCACAGUAAAUGACAUUAUAUCCAUCCCCUAGUUUUCAUAUCAGACACCUGGGACUCAUUCCUAAUUCUUUACUCCUCAUGUAAAACCAUCAGCAAAUCCUUUCAUGCCAAUUUCCAAAACAUAUCUUAAAUCCAUGCACUUUUCUUCAUCACUCUAGAUGAAGUUACUAUCUUUCACCUCAUUUAUUACGUGUUUGUUUGUUUUUUAACCAGUAUUUUCACUCUAGCUCUUCAGUCUAUUCUCCACAAUAUAAACAAAGUAACCUUAAAAAGUAUGAAUUGGCUGGACACUGUGGCUCACGCCUGUAAUCCCUGCACUUUGGGAGGCCGAGGUGGGUGGGUCACAAGGUCAAGAGAUCGAGACCAUCCUGGCCAACAUGGUGAAACCCCGUCUCUACUAAAAAUACAAAAAUUAGCGGGGCUUGGUGGCACACACCGGCAGUCCCAGCUACUCAGGAGGCUAAGGCAGGAGAAUCGCUUGAACCCAGGAGGCGGAGGCUGCAGUGAGCUGAGAUCGUGCCACUGCACUCCAGCCUGGGCGACAGAGUGAGACUCUGUCUUAAAACAACAACAACAACAACAAAAAAAACAGUAUGAAUCACACCACUUUCUUCCUUAAGACCCUUUCAUGGCUUCCUAAUGUAAUUAGUAUGAAACCCAAGAUUUUUGGCAGGACUGCCAGGCCCCAGCGCCUCUCCAGUUUUGCUUCAUGCCCUUCCCCCACCCACUGUGCUCCAGCCGAACCAUGCUAAUUUCAGUAUCUCCAGCGUGCCAAGGCCUUCUUGCCACAGGACCUUACCCACACCAGUUCUUUGGCCUGGCAUACUUGACUCCAGGCUUUCCCAAUGGCUGGCUUCUCCAUGCCCCUCAGGUCUCAGCUUAUUUGUCAUCUCCUCAGAGAGGUCUUCUCUGAGUACCCUGUCAAAUACCUACCUAUGCCCAACACACACACACACACACACACACACACACCAUCAUUUUGUAUCACGACUCUGUUUGUAUCCUUCAUAGCAAUUAUGUAUUUUAUCUUGCCCACUGUGUGAAGUCAGGAGCCAAAUUUUUCUUGCUCAUCACUUGUUCACCAGCAUCUGGCAUAGUGUCUGCACUCUAUCAAAGAUCAGUAAAUAGCUGUUAAAUAAAUGAGAGGGAAGAAGGAUCCAUAUGAGCUUGGGUGGCCAGGAAAGAUUUCAUGCUGGUUGUGGUACAUGAGGUGGACCCUAUAAUGAGGCUGGGGGUGGAGGACACACAGAGAACAACACGAAUGAGGAAAUGGCAGUGGGAAUGGACGGAUAAAGAAAAGCAGGCCAAAUGACAGCGAAGGGAACAGCUUAAACAAAAUUGAUCAUGUGCACAAUAGAAUGUGAAAUUGAAAAGGGAGGGAAGAAUGAAUAGCCCCAAAAGCCAAGAAAAGGAAUUUCAUCUUGAUAUGGGAAACAAUUGGGACCCACUCUUUGGUCUUAAUCAGAGGACUUACAUGCUAAGUGUUUUAUCAAGUGAGUCUGGCAGGGGCAAGCAGGAUGGAUUGAAGCAAGGACAGGCUGGAAGAGCUGACUGGAAGCACGCACCUAUUCUGGGGUUGAGGAGGUGAGGCUCCUGGCGAUUCAGUGGAGAGUAAAGGGUGAAGCAAAGACAGCUGUGAAGGAAGAACCCCCAAGACUUCAUUGGAUAAUGGGGACAAUCACUGGAGAAGAGCUCACAUUCUCCAUCUACCUAUUGAGUAAUUGGCUCUUUGAUUGAUUCAUCAGUCUCUACAAGGCUAGGAACUGUGGAUGCAGCAGUGAACUGGUCAGGAGUGGUCCCACCCUGAGCUCAUCAAACCCAGAGUCUAUUGAAGAAGUCAAACACUGAAUAAGCAAUUAUAAGCACAGUCAUGGCAUGAAAGAAAAGGAAGCUGCCCACAUUGAAGACAGGGAAGUGCAACCUAAAAUAUUUUAUCAAAUUUCCUGAGAAUCUUCUAUCUACUGGUCUGUUAACCCAAAGGAGAAAGGAAAUAGUUCAGCCAAGUACUAAUAAUGAUUGCUGCUUUCUUUCCUAAGUGCUCCACAGACUUUUCCUUUGUUUAAAAGUCCACUCUAGACCAAGGAGCUCUCCAGUCCUUAAAUUCUGGAGUCUAUCAUUUUAUGGGUUUUAAAAACUAGGGCCACAUUUGCCUUUGUAUUUUGGUUCUUUGAGACUAGAAAUCUGAGAGUAUCUUCAUUUCUCAUAGAUUACUGUCUGAAGUGACAUCUAUAACUUAACUUUUUAUCUACUCCAGGGUAUUACCUACCAAAUAGGAAGAUCCGAACUCAUUGACAUCAACCAGGUGCUGUCCUCACUGCUCUAAGAUUUCAAUCCCUCCCAGCAAUCUUGGGCCAUUUGUGGCUUAAAGGUAGAUUCUGUUGUUAGGAAAGACUUACUAGGAAAGAGAGGGAUUUGGAUUUAACUGCUUUCAUUUUCUCUCUCUCCUCUAUUAAAUCUUCUCCCCCAGACGCUGAGCCUAUCUUUUACUUCUUCAUUACUUUUUUUCUCAGAAUACAGCUUAAGAGCCCUUAGCUUCCUCUUCCUGUCCCAAUCUUGCCCAAGCUUCUAGUAUUAUCAUGAGUAAAAAUUAGGGAAGUUGGGGAGAAGUCCUUGUUGGGGUUGAGGGAGUGUUGAGUAUGAAAUGAUGAAGUGGUGUCUAUGUGUGGACAGUUGGAAAUAAGAGACAGGGAUGAAUGAGCAGUUUGGACUAGAUAUGGAGAUGUGAAUUCCUCCACAUGGAGAUGAAUAUAGAUUAUUUCUCUAUGGGAGUGAGAGAAUAGAGAGCCAAGUGGAGGGCCAAGAACUCAGUCAUGAGGGAUUGGCACAGUCCGCAGGCAGGAAGAAGUUCCAGCAAAAGAAACUGAAAUUCACAGAAUAGGAAGAAAACAGAAAUGAUCUAGCCCACCUCUCCCAUCUAACUGAUGAGGAAAUGGUUGUCCAGAUAAAAAUGAAUCAGUGACUAAGGCAGCUAUGAAAAUAUAGAGUUGCAUAAGUCCUGAGGGGUUGGGGGAGUGGCUUUCAAGAAAUAGGAGGUGGUCCACAGGGCCAAAUACUUCUGAUCAAUCAAAAAAGGUGAGGAAACUAACGAUGGUACUUGAAAUUGAUUAAUGUGUUGGUCUCCCAGAGUGUAGCUGUGGUAAAGCAGAAGACAGAGAAACCUAAGCAUGUGGGGGAAAGGGUGUAAAUGUGAAAGAGGCAAAGAGAUACUGAGUUAUACAUGCUCAGUACGUUUGGCAGUACCAGGCAAGAGAAAUAGGAUGGUUAGAUAGAAGAAAAAUAUAAAUAAGCAAAGUUUAAGACAACAGAAGUACUACUAAUUUAAGACAGAAAGGAAGGAACCAAUUGAGUGGGAAGGAUUGAGGACACAAAAGAAGUCCUGCCAUCUUUGGCAGGAAGAUCACAAGAAGCGGGACAGGAACUGAAGCACAGGUAGCGGUAAGCUUUGGGGAAAGAAAGAUACCAGAAGUGAAAGGAGAAAGGUGCCAUGUGUGAUGAAGCAGAUAAAGCAAAGAGACAAAGGGACACAUCCCGGAAGCCAGAUGUGCAGAUAUGGAAGGAAAACAUGCUGAUCCUCAGGUCAAAGGUGAAAGUUUGAGUCCUGCCUCUGCCUCUCCCUGGAUAUUUGACUUUGAUCUCUUUGAGCUGGCUGCUUCACAUUUGGAUGUCAUAGGCUUUUUGUGAAACUGUUAUCGGACAACAUGUGUGUAUGCCUAGUAUGAGUUAUCAGAGCAUUUUUGAGAGAUGCCUUAGGCUGUAAUGCAAAAAGAUAUGAAAUGGCUGCUCUGGUAAAUUAGAAAGCUCACAAGAUACACCAGCUGGGCAGUAAGAGGGUUCUAGCUGAAGCAGAAAAUCAUGAUUCUUCUUUCAGAAGGGACACCCAGGGACCCCUCUUGCUGCCCUCCUGGGCACUGAAAGGUAGCACAGAAAAGCCAUAGAGAAAGAAGCACCACAGUGGAAAUUCCAUGAUGGGAUGGUGGUGGCCACAGCAGGAAGGCAUUUUCAAGAGCUACUGGAGUCCCCAGGCCCAGCCAGCCCAAGGUGGGGAUAACAGCAACACUUUAAUAAGGUUACACUGGGGUCACCAGAUUCUCAAGCACUUCUCUCCUCCUGCUUUUAAAGUUCAGAAUCAUCUAAUUAGAGGACCAAACUCCAUCCCUGACCACAUGAAAAGCAAAAUGAGGCCUGACUCUGACUCAAACUGUUCACAGAGAAUGAAGGAUGCUGUGGAAUCCUAGAACUUCAGAUUCUCAUGGUAGGCAGGGACUGGCCCGUGUGUGACCCUCUACAAUACUUUGCCUAAUGCCAGUGUAAGCUUAUAAAAGAACCCUCUAAGGUAGCCCAAUUCAUCCAUGGUCAGCUCUGAUUAUUUCAAAGGUUUUCCUUAUGUUGAUCUCAAG
rnacentral:lncRNA from 10 species